rnacentral:rRNA from 1 species
AGGCAGCAGUAGGGAAUCUUCCACAAUGGACGCAAGUCUGAUGGAGCAACGCCGCGUGAGUGAAGAAGGUUUUCGGAUCGUAAAGCUCUGUUGUUGGUGAAGAAGGAUAGAGGUAGUAACUGGCCUUUAUUUGACGGUAAUCAACCAGAAAGUCACGGCUAACUACGUGCCAGCAGCCGCGGUAAUACGUAGGUGGCAAGC